rnacentral:lncRNA from 1 species
AAAAAUCAGAUACGGACACAAUUGGUCCAAUGAAGUAUCCAUGUUUUGUAGCUUUUUGCUUAUCAGAAUACAAGAAUGGCAUGCUAAACUAGAACAAUGAAACUAUUUGAUUAUUAGAAUUCAUGAUAGAUUGCGCCAAAAAAGAUUAGAAAGAUAUGCAAUCCCCAGGGGAACACAUAUCAUCUUUUCGGUGACAUUUAAUAAGUACCUAGAAUGACUAUUUAAUACAAGUCUCAUCUUGAAAUCAUACCAACAUUGUUUCUGCAACAAGGUUCGCCCUCUCGGUACUGAAUUUUGGUACCAUGCUAGUACAAGGGUAGUAUACCCAAUAUAGAAGGUUGAUUCGGCAUACUGAGACUCAGUACACCUCCCCUUAUCGAGUCUCGAUUUGGUACCGAUGCUAGUACGGCACGAUACACUUGGCACGGAGUAGUACACACUGAAAUGGUGAAUCUUUCUUUGUAGUGUUUGGCUAGACGUUUGAAUG